CUACACAUGCAGUCGAACGCAGUAGCAAUACUGAGUGGCAGACGGGUGAGUAACAUGUGGGAAUCUGCCUUGUGGUUCAGGACAACAUUGGGAAACCGAUGCUAAUACUGGAUAAGCCCUUACGGGGAAAGUUUUAAUGCCAUAAGAUGAGCCCGCAUUUGAUUAGUUAGUUGGUGAGGUAAUGGCUCACCAAGACAAUGAUCAAUAGCUGAUCUGAGAGGAUGACCAGCCACACUGGGACUGAGACACGGCCCAGACUCCUACGGGAGGCAGCAGUGGGGAAUCUUGCACAAUGGAGGAAACUCUGAUGCAGCGAUGCCGCGUGAGUGAAGAAGGCCUUUGGGUUGUAAAGCUCUUUUGUAGGGGAAGAUAAUGACUGUACCCUAAGAAUAAGGUCCGGCUAACUUCGUGCCAGCAGCCGCGGUAAUACGAAGGGACCUAGCGUAGUUCGGAAUUACUGGGCGUAAAGCGCGCGUAGGCCGUUGAGUUAGUUAAUUGUGAAAUCCCAAAGCUUAACUUUGGAACUGCAAUUAAAACUGCUCGACUAGAGUUUGAUAGAGGAAAGCGGAAUACAUAGUGUAGAGGUGAAAUUCGUAGAUAUUAUGUAGAACACCAGUUGCGAAGGCGGCUUUCUGGAUCAACACUGACGCUGAGGCGCGAAAGUAUGGGUAGCAAAGAGGAUUAGAUACCCUCGUAGUCCAUACCAUAAACGAUGAUUGCUAGAUGUUGGAAAUUUAUUUUCAGUAUCGCAGCUAACGCAUUAAGCAAUCCGCCUGGGGAGUACGACCGCAAGGUUAAAACUCAAAUGAAUUGACGGGGACCCGCACAAGCGGUGGAGCAUGUGGUUUAAUUCGAAGAUACGCGCAGAACCUUACCACCCCUUGACAUGUCUGUCG
rnacentral:rRNA from 1 species